UGGUAAACAUGAAGAUUCUUUAAUGCAUAGAGUGGCAGUUGCAGAAAUGUUGUAUGUCUUGGAUCCUACUAAGAAACUUGAAGAUGUUAAGUUAAUUGAAGAUUCGUCCAAUAAAGUUGUCUUAAACAAUGGAGCACUUGGAACAGUAAUGAGGUGGAAACUCAAGGACUGUAUUGCAGUCCAUAAGCUCUUAGACAAUGUUCUUACUGAUCAAGAUGCU